UGAUUGCAAAGCAUGUUCUAGAAGUCCAGCUAAAGAUGGUUAUAAGGAUCUUGAAAUUGUUCAGGAGCAUAGGAAGACUGAGCAUGCCGAUAGUGAUGAGAUUUGUCUUGUCGAUGUGACAACUAUCUACCCUGUUAGUCAUGGACAAUUGGAUUGUCCGACUUGUUCUCCUCUUGGAGCUAAAGAAGACUGGCAUAAGGAACUGGCAAAUGGUCAAAACAAGUUUAAUAAUA